UGGCCACUGGGGUGACUGCACCAGGCGUGGGCCAGCAGUCCAGUGGGGCCCUUGCAGGACUGAGACCUGCUCCUAGCUCCCCCGCCUGGCGAUGGGAACCCCAGGAGGGCAAGUGGGGCACAGGCCCUCCACGGGGCCUGAGCUCACGGCCUGGUCACAGCCAGUUCUCCUCCAGGCUCUGCCAUGGUCAGCUGGCAACCUGGGCCUCAUUUUCUCUGUAAACAAGGGGCCAAAUUUCAUUUGAAACCACAAGGUCUGGCCUUCUCCCUAGCUCUGCCCCAUCCCUGGCCAUUUUGCUCACCUACCUGUCACCAUGAGUCCAGCAGUUGGACCCUGAGCACUGCAGCAACCUGGGAUGGGGCACACAUGGGGCUGAGUGAGGCGGGAAGGGCCUGACGCUUGGUAUGUGUGUGCUUCCUCCUUACCUCAGAAUGCGUGGAGGGCCCCAACAUCGCCGCCAUCGUCGGGGGUACUGUGGCGGGAGUUGUGCUCAUUGGCCUUCUCCUGCUGAUCAUCUGGAAAGCCCUGACCCACCUGAGCGACCUCAGGGAGUACAAGCGCUUUGAGAAGGAGAAGCUCAAGUCCCAAUGGAACAACGACAACCCCCUUUUCAAGAGCGCCACUACGACAGUCAUGAACCCUAAGUUUGCUGAGAGUUAGGAUGCUUGGUGAACAAGGCCAUCUGAACCCCUAAGUGGGACCACCCCACACCACACUCCUCCAUCACACCGGAUGUGACCUGCCUCCUGACGUGGCUUAUGAUGCUUGGCAGUUUCAUCCAUUAACCAAGAAUCCACUAUGCUUUUCUCUGCCCUCAAAAUGACUGAUAUGGCCAGGUGACUACAUGGGCUCAUAAGAAGGGACAGCCUCCCCUUCUGAUACCUACGACCUUUUCAUAGAGACUUCAAAAAGGAAUUGCUUGAGUCUUACAAGGUUAAAUAGGUGUUUUCUUAUGUAAAAAUCAGGAUGGUGUCUGUUUAAAGGCGGUGCAAUUUUAUUUCUAUUUGAACCUAUCAUGGUGUAAGAUUACAUCCCAUUGUUUAUAGUGUUCCCCAAUCAAGUGUAUAGAAAAAGAUCAAUAAAACUCUGGUGGAAGCUGUCCACGGAGGCUGGGCUCUGCCCCCUCCCCACGCUCUACACACUCGGCGGGUCAACUGCG